rnacentral:rRNA from 1 species
UACGGAGGGUGCAAGCGUUAUCCGGAUUCACUGGGUUUAAAGGGUGUGUAGGCGGGUCUGUAAGUCAGUGGUGAAAUCUCCGAGCUCAACUUGGAAACUGCCAUUGAUACUAUAGAUCUUGAAUUUUGUUGAGGUAGGCGGAAUAUGUCAUGUAGCGGUGAAAUGCAUAGAUAUGACAUAGAACACCGAUUGCGAAGGCAGCUUACUAAGCAAAUAUUGACGCUGAGGCACGAAAGCGUGGGGAUCAAACAGGA